GGGUUGUGAGGUUAAGCGACUAAGCGUACACGGUGGAUGCCCUGGCAGUCAGAGGCGAUGAAGGGCGUGCUAAUCUGCGAUAAGCGCCGGUAAGGUGAUAUGAACCGUUAUAACCGGCGAUACCCGAAUGGGGAAACCCAGUGUGACUCGUCACACUAUCAUUAACUGAAUCCAUAGGUUAAUGAGGCGAACCGGGGGAACUGAAACAUCUAAGUACCCCGAGGAAAAGAAAUCAACCGAGAUUCCCCCAGUAGCGGCGAGCGAACGGGGAGGAGCCCAGAGCCUGAAUCAGCAUGUGUGUUAGUGGAAGCGUCUGGAAAGGCGCGCGAUACAGGGUGACAGCCCCGUACACAAAAGCGCAUGUGCUGUGAGCUCGAUGAGUAGGGCGGGACACGUGGUAUCCUGUCUGAAUAUGGGGGGACCAUCCUCCAAGGCUAAAUACUCCUGACUGACCGAUAGUGAACCAGUACCGUGAGGGAAAGGCGAAAAGAACCCCGGCGAGGGGAGUGAAAAAGAACCUGAAACCGUGUACGUACAAGCAGUGGGAGCACCCUUUGGGGUGUGACUGCGUACCUUUUGUAUAAUGGGUCAGCGACUUAUAUUCUGUAGCAAGGUUAACCGUAUAGGGGAGCCGGAGGGAAACCGAGUCUUAAUUGGGCGUUAAGUUGCAGGGUAUAGACCCGAAACCCGGUGAUCUAGCCAUGGGCAGGUUGAAGGUUGGGUAACACUAACUGGAGGACCGAACCGACUAAUGUUGAAAAAUUAGCGGAUGACCUGUGGCUGGGGGUGAAAGGCCAAUCAAACCGGGAGAUAGCUGGUUCUCCCCGAAAGCUAUUUAGGUAGCGCCUCGUGAAUUCAUCUCCGGGGGUAGAGCACUGUUUCGGCUAGGGGGCCAUCCCGGCUUACCAACCCGAUGCAAACUGCGAAUACCGGAGAAUGUUAUCACGGGAGACACACGGCGGGUGCUAACGUCCGUCGUGAAGAGGGAAACAACCCAGACCGCCAGCUAAGGUCCCAAAGUCAUGGUUAAGUGGGAAACGAUGUGGGAAGGCCCAGACAGCCAGGAUGUUGGCUUAGAAGCAGCCAUCAUUUAAAGAAAGCGUAAUAGCUCACUGGUCGAGUCGGCCUGCGCGGAAGAUGUAACGGGGCUAAACCAUGCACCGAAGCUGCGGCAGCGACGCUUAUGCGUUGUUGGGUAGGGGAGCGUUCUGUAAGCCUGCGAAGGUGGCCUGUGAGGGUUGCUGGAGGUAUCAGAAGUGCGAAUGCUGACAUAAGUAACGAUAAAGCGGGUGAAAAGCCCGCUCGCCGGAAGACCAAGGGUUCCUGUCCAACGUUAAUCGGGGCAGG
rnacentral:rRNA from 1 species